UUUUUUUUUGAACUGGGUUUAUGUGCGCCCCCCUCACCCCUCCUCUCUUUUUCUUUCUGCCUCUGUCGUCCUUCUCGCUGGCUUUUUUUUUUUUUUUUAAAUGAGGAACCGUUCCAUGAACAUUUUGCACAGAGCACAGAAUUGCUUCUAAAGUCAGCCCGGCGAGGUUGCAAUAGACAGCAAAAAGGUAAACGUUUGCCUGAAAUCCGCACGCCAGCUCCACCACCCCGCCCGAUGUGAUGCCGCUGAAACCUGAAAAUGACGCCACAGAACAACCAGCUAAAGUCCAAGUCAAGAUGGCGCACACUGGUCUAACAUGCUGGGCUGGAGUUCCGGCUUGCUGUGAACCUUGCUGUUGUCUUGCCACUGUCGGUGUUCUUCAGUCUGCACAGCUUAGGCAAAAACUAUUUGGAUACACACUUCUUGUCUGCCGGGACUGGGGGAACAACGAGAGAAAGGCAUGGUGGUGUGUACCUUCAAUCCCCAGCAUUUGGAAGGCAGAGGCAGGCAGAUCUCUGUGAUUUCAAAGCCUGUCUAGUCCACACAGAAAGUUCCAGGUUCUGUAACAAUCAAGAGCACGUGGACACCUUCCAGUGGGAGGAGGCUUGUGGAGGGAUAUUGUUUCUGGUUCCUGCUGAAGCCAGAGUUCUGGAGAUGAACAGCUGUUCAAGGAAAUGAAGGAAGACUCAUUAAAGAAUACAUGCUUAGAAGGAAACUGUUUUAAGCAUCGUCAUCUAUGUGAUGCCUCUGCACAGUCCUCCCUUUCCACAGACACCAACGCUGAAGCCCCAACACUGGGAGUCCCUAAAUAAGGACCCUGGAGAAGAAUUGCCAAAGGGAAUUUUAAGGAAGCCUGUGAUCCUAUAAGAAUGAUCAUCAGUGUAAAUCAAGUCAAAAGACUUAGAUGGUUUCUCCAGCACUCAAUCUCCAGCAUCCAGAACAGGUGCCAUAUGAGGUUUUUCCUCUGCCACGUCUUCCAACUAUGAUGUUGGCUAUCAUCAAAAAAACCCAGAUCAAUGAGAUCACGGCAUGGAAGACAGAUACCACUGUAACUAUUUUGACUUCCAGUUAAAACCUGCCAUCGUGUGUUCAGCAGGAGAGUGAAAGAAUGUCUAGCACACUGUACCAACAAUCAGAGGCUGAACCUGCCAGCAGCGCUGACUCUGAUGGACAAACGCUUCCUAGGGUGAGUGGACAGGAUUAAGAGCUGCUUUUGUCAGGACACCCACAAAACGUAGUUUUGUUCAAUGCGUUUGUCAUCAGUGCACAUGUGUAAGACAGUACAGUCUUAGAUAUAACAAGUGGGAUAGAUGAUGCCCAAGUGUGAGUCUCCAUGAGGAUACUGAGGCACAAGGCUCUUGAAGUAGGCAGCCAGUUCUCAUACCUGUGCCUCUAAUGAGAUUAUGGCUACCCCAUGACUACUCCACCUCAUAAAACAUUUUCAUCAUCUGAAAGACAGAAAUUACUUUUUACUCUUUCCAUUUUCUGAAAUUGAAAAAAAAAAAAAAACCCUCUCAGGUGAAAUCCCUGAAGACUGAGCUCCCUCUCUAUCAUGCUUAGAGGUCACUGGGCUGCCAUCUUCCUCGACCCCAGCAAUGUGUCCCCCAGCAGUGUUCUCUGCCUCUGUUACCAAAGACGGCCAAAUUAUGAGCACUCAUGCAUCUGGUCAAUUACACAAUGCUCCACCAACGAGGGAAAUUCCUUCUCCACUUCAGCUGGUGCACAGUUAUGCCCCGGAGCCCAGGACGGACAUGCCUUGUAACUUUUUAACCUAGUUAGCAUAACUGCCAAUAUUAUUCCCGUUCAUAUAAAUGUCUAAUCCUUUCUUGAAUCUUGCUAGACUAUUUCCCUCAAUAAUAUCCUGCAGCAGUGAAUUCCAAAGGUGCAUUAUACGCUGCUUUAAAAAUAUUUCCUUUAUUCGUUUUAAAUUUGUUGCCUUUUAACAUCGAAACGUGGCCAGAGCUCUUGCCUUAAGUGGAACAGGGUAACGAAAGAACUUCACGUCUCCCUAGCACUUUCUUACCUUUUACUAAAUCCCUUCUUCUCUCAAUAUUUUCUGUCUUGUCACUUAUAAUAGUGAUUAAGUGAGAUGAUUUGACUAAGUGGUUUUAUGCUACCUGGGAUACAGAGCAGGCAUUGGCCCAAAAGCUUUCCUUGAUAUUCAGUGUGAUUUAUUAGAUAAAUAUUUACCCAGUACCUAUUUGUGUAGGAACUGUUUCAAUUUUUGGAGAGACAGCUUUGAAUAAGACUAGGCCAUUGUUCAGAAGGACCUGACUUUUCUUGAGAGGAAAUGGGCACUAACAUAGUGUGUAAAUUAUAAGGUGCCAUUUCGAGGUCAAAAAAGAUCUAUCCAUCCUCCACAUCCUCAAAGUCUACCAGACUUGGCCUGGUUUCUUGCUGUUUUUUCCCCCUCUCUAAAAUCUGUAGCACUAGAAUUAUUUACAUAGCAUUUACAUUGCAUUAAGUAUUACAAGCUAUCUACAAAUGAUUAACUUGCAUGCAAGUAUGUGCAUAAAUUAUAUCAAGUUCCAUAACAUGCAAAAGAAGGGACUUGAACAUCUUGUGAUUUCAGGGUCCUUAGGUGAGGGAGUGUUUUUUUGAAAAUGGGGUAGUUGGGCCGGGCCACCUAUCAGUCAUCUAUGUGACAUCCCAGAGGACGACUCUGUGGCUCUGUAUUAUUUGUUGAGUAUGUGAAUGAAUCAAGAUUAAGAGAGGGUCAUUUUAUGAUGUCAUACUAGGUCUGUGAGGAACAGUUUUCUAAUGCUUCCCAUAACUCCCAAGAGUGUUGGAGGAGACAAAGGAAGGGAUUUAGCCAGAAGGAUUCCAGUUGCAAGACCCAAGGUGCUCUGUCUCAGCAGCUAUGUGACCUUGGUCAGGUCACUUUAUUGCUUGAACUCAAAGCAUUCUUUUUCAUAAAAAUAGGAAGGAAGUUUUCUUCUUUCUUGGGACUUUGAAUAUUUAGGCACCAUUCUCUGGAAGUUUUUUUUUUUUUCUUUAUCUUUAAUCUUUUUUGAUAGUCUAGUCAUUCUCCCCUGUCUCCAAGAGGAUUCUCACCCUCCCACCCCACCCCAUCCCACCCCACCCCAUCUUACCCCAUAAGUCUUCCACUCCCUGGGGACUUGGAAGUUCUUUAAAAACUGCCAAAUGGUGUAAAUGCUAUAGAACUUGGGACUUUAUUUUAUUUAAAAAUUUGUUUCUAGAUAAGGUCUUGAGUAGUCCAGGCUCACCUUUAAGUCACUAAAAAGCUGGGGAUGUCCGUGAACUCCUGAUUGCCCUUAUCACCCUCUGUGUACUUCCAUGUCCCUCUAUACAGUGCUGGGAGUCGAAGCCAGGACUUUCUGAAUCCUAGGCAAACACUUUUCCGACUAAGCUACAUCUCACAGCUGAAAGAUCUGGUUAUCAUUGCAAUCAUUCUUCCACAGGAUAUACUUCAGGCGUGUGCCGCAAGCCACACCCACAGCUGCAUCAAAUAUCUGGUCUUUCCUUCUUCCUUUUUUCUCUUCCUUGUUUUCUCAGUUCCCUAACUUAUCCCUGCCUCUCCUGACAGCCCAUCAAUGACCCCUUGGAAGUGCCCACCCUCAGAGCUAGCUUUGAACCUCUUCCUGAGCUUGUGAUUUGUUACUUGAGGAUUUCAAAAAAUGGAAUCAUGUGGCGUUCUUACUCAUUGAUUCAGUGGACUGAGGUGAUUACUUGCUUUGAUUUUGUUUGAUGCUUCUCCGUCUGGGGUCAGGCUAUCCAGCCGUCUACACAUGAAGGCAGAGCCCUUGACUGAAUUUCUGAGUGAAUCCCUCCCGAGAAACCACACUUUGACCCAAUUACCUGUCUUUAGCUUUCCCAGGACAACAUUCCAAUGUGGUAAGUAUAUAUACCAUUUCCUUGUGUAGUCUCCUCCCAUGAUUCUUUCUAAUCGUUUCUUAAUGCACCUCUCCCUUACUGAGUAGAGUCAUGCACAACCCUGCAUAAUCAUGUAUUUAAAAGGCAUCUUAAUAAAUUAUUAGGAUUGUUUACACGCAUGGUUCGAAUUUACUGGCAGCUUGCUUGGGCCUUGGUUUUAGGAUGUAGCUGCUGGCCAGGCUCCUUCUGGGUGAAAGUCUGAAAUAGGAGAGGUUGCCCUUUACUGUCCCUCACCGGCACUUCCUCUGCCUGGUUCCUGGCCUUUCAACACCUCCUUCCUUUCCCUGCCCUGAAUAACUCUGAGGGGCUGACAGGCGUUUUGCACCUUCAUGUGAAGACGUUUUGUGGGUCCCUUCCUAGAUCUGCCCCCAACCAAGGUGAGGUACGCAAAGAAAUAAAUCUUCAAUGGUAUAAUUUUAGAUGCUCUGGCAGCUGGAGAGGGCAGCUAUUUUGGGCUGUAGGGCUUUCUCCUUGACCCGAGGUGACACGGUUUUGCCUGUUGCUAGAGUAGCCAGCCAACCCUGCAGAGUGUCCUUUUGGCUGCGUGCUUGCAGUUCCUGGGGUGGCUUCUUCAUGCCCUCCACUGAGAUCUGUGAUCAUCCAGAAUUUUGUGUCCUCACCUCGUGCAGGGGCAAGCAUCUGCUGACAGGUGCCAUGCUCCAGCACAGCCUUCGGAGUCAAUAAAGAUGGAGCUGACCCGCUCUGUGGCCGAAGAUAGAGGAAAACCGAUGGUCCAGUUUCUGUGUGUUCCUCAGUUCCCAUGGUUUAUCGGCUGCUUGGCCACCAUUGUAUGAAUCACCCCUACUUGGAUCCAGGCAGGUCUCCAGACCACAGUGUCUCUGCCUCACCUCCUACACUGCCUGGCUGGAAGCUGUGUGUUCAUGAUGUCUCUUCUGACCACCCUGCUUGCUGUCUUCCCCAGGAUCCUGAUGCAGCUGCUAUCUGCAGACCUCCUGGACUGCCCUGGGAAGGGAGUAGGAGGUCCUGCCACAGAUGGGUGGAACGUGGACAAGAAGGGCUAAAGGUGGCCAAAAAUAACAGUGCCUUCCAGAUGAUGAGGUGACCUCAGGGCCAAAGCAUCAUGGGCUAGUGGCCUGCCAAUCACAGGACAUCAGUAUGCACAGUGCCCAGCGUCUCCUCCUCCAGGUUCAGCAUCGACAUCUUCCUUCAGAGGACCUACUCCAAUCUCAGGACUUUCAGAAGUUUUCCUUUUAAAAAGAUGAAGACCUCUACAGAAAAGCGGUCUAGCUGCUUGGACACGGUGGCACACGCCUCUACUGCUGGUGCCCUGCAGGAGGACCACAGCAGUUCCUGGCACCUAGUAGGUGAAUCAGAAGAUAUAAUUCACACUGGCAAAUGAUUUACAUAUCUGGAAGAGGAAAUAGAUGGAAGCACAAUGUACCACAGCCACCAAGACCUAGGAGGGUAAGGAACUGGGAGUCAGGAAGGUCAACGGAGAUGCAAAACGAGUGGAGAAGGCAUCGAUGGAGCCUCCCUUGGGUGGUGUAAGCAGGACGGAGACCACAUUAGGUAUUCCCUGCUGCAGAUACAUGCCUGAAUGAGUUCAAAGCCUACACUGCCAGAAGGAGUUAGCUGAAACAACCUUUGGAAGGAGAGAAUCGCUCAAUCAUAGUCAAACUACUCAAAGGCAAAGGAAAAGAAGGAAUGUUGGAAGCAGCAAGGGGACUACACAUUCCUCAGUAGGAUCAACAAACUGCCUUCCUACCAGAGGUUCAGAGACCAGAAGGGCAACUGUUCCCACAGUGGACAGGAAGACAGAAAGACAAUGGAUAAAGAAUUAUAAUCCAGGCAAAAAUUAUCCUGCAAAAUUAGACAAGAAAUAAAGUCAAAGCCAAUAAAGGAAGAAAAAGGAGGGAAGAAAAGAAAAAGAGUCAUUGUGGCAAUAGACUUUCUCUGAAAGAAGUAUUAAAGUAAGUCCUUCAUGUAGAGAUAAAAGGAUAACAGGAAGUAACAGUAAUGGGCAAAUGAAGCUAUACAGGUAAGUAUGAAAAUGAGAAACAUUAGUGACUCUGUAUAAAUCUUUUAUUUAUAAGCCAACAUCAUAAGCAAGAAUUAAUCAACUAGCAUAU